rnacentral:rRNA from 1 species
UACGUAGGGGGCAAGCGUUGUCCGGAAUCAUUGGGCGUAAAGAGCGUGUAGGCGGUCCGGUCAGUCGGUUGUGAAAGUCAAGGGCUCAACCCUUGAAUGCCGGCCGAUACUGCCGGGCUAGAGUCCGGAAGAGGUGAGUGGAAUUCCUGGUGUAGCGGUGAAAUGCGCAGAUAUCAGGAGGAACACCGAUGGCGAAGGCAGGUCUCUGGGCUGACACUGACGCUCAUGCACGAAAGCGUGGGAGCAAACAG